UACAUGGGGUGCAAACGUUGCUCGGAAUUAUUGGGCGUAAAGCGCGCGUAGGCGGUUAUUCAAGUCGGAUGUGAAAGCCCUCGGCUUAACUGAGGAAGUGCACCCGAAACUGAGUAGCUAGAGUACCAAAGAGGGUCGCGGAAUUCCCGGUGUAGAGGUGAAAUUCGUAGAUAUCGGGAGGAACACCGGUGGCGAAGGCGGGUCUCUGGGCAGUAACUGACGCUGAGGAGCGAAAGCGUGGGGAGCGAACAGG
rnacentral:rRNA from 1 species